AACGAACGCUGGCGGCAUGCCUAACACAUGCAAGUCGAACGAGACCUUCGGGUCUAGUGGCGCACGGGUGCGUAACGCGUGGGAACCUGCCCUUAGGUUCGGAAUAACUCCCCGAAAGGGGUGCUAAUACCGGAUAAUGUCUUCGGACCAAAGAUUUAUCGCCUUUGGAUGGGCCCGCGCUGGAUUAGCUAGUUGGUAGGGUAAAGGCCUACCAAGGCGACGAUCCAUAGCUGGUCUGAGAGGAUGAUCAGCCACACUGGGACUGAGACACGGCCCAGACUCCUACGGGAGGCAGCAGUGGGGAAUAUUGGACAAUGGGCGAAAGCCUGAUCCAGCAAUGCCGCGUGAGUGAUGAAGGCCUUAGGGUUGUAAAGCUCUUUUACCCGGGAUGAUAAUGACAGUACCGGGAGAAUAAGCGCCGGCUAACUCCGUG
rnacentral:rRNA from 1 species